CCUACGGGAGGCAGCAGUCGAGAAUCAUUCACAAUGGGGGAAACCCUGAUGGUGCGACGCCGCGUGGGGGAAUGAAGGUCUUCGGAUUGUAAACCCCUGUCAUGUGGGAGCAAAUUAAAAAGAUAGUACCACAAGAGGAAGAGACGGCUAACUCUGUGCCAGCAGCCGCGGUAAUACAGAGGUCUCAAGCGUUGUUCGGAAUCACUGGGCGUAAGGCGUGCGUAGGCUGUUUCGUAAGUCGUGUGUGAAAGGCGCGGGCUCAACCCGCGGACGGCACAUGAUACUGCGAGACUAGAGUAAUGGAGGGGGAAAUGUAAUUCUCGGUGUAGCAGUGAAAUGCGUAGAUAUCGAGAGGAACACUCGUGGCGAAGGCGGGUUCCUGGACAUUAACUGACGCUGAGGCACGAAGGCCAGGGGAGCGAAAGGGAUUAGAUACCCCGGUAGUC
rnacentral:rRNA from 1 species